AACGAACGCUGGCGGCAGGCCUAACACAUGCAAGUCGAACGCCCCGCAAGGGGAGUGGCGCACGGGUGAGUAACGCGUGGGAAUAUGCCCUUCGGUUCGGAAUAACACAGGGAAACUUGUGCUAAUACCGGAUACGAUCUACGGAUGAAAGAUUUAUCGCCGAGGGAGUAGCCCGCGUAGGAUUAGCUAGUUGGUGAGGUAAUGGCUCACCAAGGCGACGAUCCUUAGCUGGUCUGAGAGGAUGAUCAGCCGCACUGGGACUGAGACACGGCCCAGACUCCUACGGGAGGCAGCAGUGGGGAAUAUUGGACAAUGGGCGAAAGCCUGAUCCAGCCAUGCCGCGUGAGUGAUGAAGGCCUAGGGUUGUAAAGCUCUUUCGCCAGGGAAGAUAAUGACGGUACCUGGAAAAGAAGCCUCGGCUAACUCCGUGCCAGCCGCCGCCGUAA
rnacentral:rRNA from 1 species